AUUGAACGCUGGCGGCAGGCUUAACACAUGCAAGUCGAACGAGUGGCGGACGGGUGAGGAAUGCUUGGGAAUCUAGCUUAUGGAGGGGGAUAACUACGGGAAACUGUAGCUAAUACCGCGUACACUCGGAUGAGCCCAAGUGGGAUUAGGUAGUUGGUGAGGUAAAGGCUCACCAAGCCGGCGAGCGCUAGCUGGUCUGAGAGGAUGACCAGCCACACUGGGGCUAGGACACGGCCCAUACUCCGACGUCAGGCAGCAUUGGGGAAUAGUGCGAAAUUGGGGCAACCUAGCGAAGCCAUGCCGAAUGAAUGAAGAAGGCCUUCGGGUUGUAAAGUUCUUUCGAUAGCGAGGCGUUGACUACAGAAGAAGCACCGGCUAACUCCGUGCCAGCGGCCGCGGUAAUAC
rnacentral:rRNA from 1 species